UACGGGGGGGGGCAAGCGUUGUUCGGAAUUACUGGGCGUAAAGGGCUCGUAGGCGGCCAACUAAGUCCGACGUGAAAUCCCCAGGCUUAACCUGGGAACUGCGUCGGAUACUGGAUGGCUUGAAUUCGGGAGAGGGAUGCAGAAUUCCAGGUGUAGCGGUGAAAUGCGCAGAUAUCAGGAGGAACACCGGUGGCGAAGGCGGGUCUCUGGGCCGACACUGACGCUGAGGAGCGAAAGCGUGGGGGAGCGAACAGG
rnacentral:rRNA from 1 species